UACGGAGGGUGCGAGCGUUGUCCGGAAUCACUGGGCGUAAAGGGCGCGUAGGUGGCACGGGUAGUCGUCGGUGAAAGCUCAGGGCUCAACCCUGAGUCGGCCGGUGAUACUCCCGAGCUCGAGUGUGGUAGAGGCCAAUGGAAUUCCAGGUGUAGCGGUGGAAUGCGUAGAGAUCCGGAAGAACACCGGUGGCGAAGGCGGUUGGCUGGGCCACAACUGACACUGAUGCGCGACAGCGUGGGGAGCAAACAGG
rnacentral:rRNA from 1 species